UGUGCUAGACGGGGAGCUAGCGGUGCCCUGUACCCGCAAUCCGCUACAGCGGGGUUGAAUGCCGUGUGCGGCAUAUUUUAUGGGUAGUUCGGCGUCGGUAAGGAAUGUUGAUAUCAAGGUCUUAUGCAACGGCGACCCGUGAACCAUGUCAGGACAGGAAUGUAGCAGCAUUAAGCGGAUAUCACCGUGUGCCAUGAGGUAGCCGUGGAGGAGUCACCUGCCGGCAUACC
rnacentral:SRP_RNA from 2 species